UUUCAUAGAUUUUCGAGCGGUUAUAAGCACGGUGUCGACCAAACGACGAAAAGUGCUACAAAAGUGCUGGAAUAUUACUCCGCGUUGCCUUCCGCAGGCAGCACUGCCUACAGUUUUAGCUAUAAUUGUACGCGAUUAUUUGGGCUGAGUGAAACGGCAUCUCUGCUGCGAUAGCUUUUCCCUUUCUCCCUAGAUUGUCAGUUGAGUAAACAAGAGAGAUCGCAUAACAAGCAGAAAUCUUCGGGUUUGCUCAUUACGAUGCAUUUACUUGGAAAUCUCGUCUUCGGUAAUGGAGAUUCUACCUCACACAAAAAUCGGGAUACGAAGAUUGUUCUCAUGUGUUUUGGUUUAUCUAAUCGUUCAGUUGAAUUAAAACUCACUUUUUCGUUCCUGAAAGCGUCACGGAAUAUGCCUUUCGUCAGAGCUGCAGUAGCAGACGCAAGCCGAUUCAGCCAAAUAAUUCACAAAAGUAAAACUUUUCAAAAUUAAUCCAGCAGCAGCGAAUCUUUAACGAGUAUACCAAGAGGAAGCUGCCAUCACAUAUGAAGUCAUUCCAAUUUUUCUUGCGUGGAAGCAACUUAAAGUUAUGCGAAUUAUUGAUGGUAUAUGGAAAUAUUUGAACUUUGGAGAGUUCCACGAAUUUAGGAAAUAUAAAUUAUUACACACAGAGAAAUGAUUGCUUUCGUAUGCGUAAGUGGGAAUGUAGUUCAUUUGGGUGGCCUUUUUCAAGGAUGAAAAGGUAUUAUUAUUGGUAAAUUUCUAAAUAUGUACCAACCUUCGGUAAUCUACUCGAUGUUGUUUUUUCCAUAAUAUGGUCAUAUUACACGCUCUGGAAUAGUAUUGAUGGACAUUGGCAUGGAUGAUAAUUUUUUUAAGAUGGCGAACUCUUGUGGUUUAUUCUCUGUGCGGAACACUGAAUGAGCAACUGCUCCAAAAUUGUUCUCGGUAGGGUCUUUUCUAUGAUGAUGUUCCUGCAGGCAAAACAUACGAUAAUUCUCCAGUGCAAAUAUAGUUAAAAAACUUUCCUUUGGAUUCCUAGUUUGAACUACGGAAGAUCGAGAACUAGAGAUUCGAUCGCUAAAAGUGAAAUCCCGAUUCCACUUAUAGAUUAUUUGAAAAAUUACAUCUAAGUUUAUGCUAGCAAUUGGAUAACCCAAAACUCAAUGGCCAAUAAUAGAAUUAGUAAUGCAAAUGGUUUAUGGUAUAUGUAUAUAUUUUCAGUGCAAAAAAUAAAUAUUU